AUACCCCAACCACCCCAUUUUAGAACGAACUUCGUACGAACCUGAAUUGUCCGAUUUCAAGGACCAAUCGACAUCGGAUUGAGUCCAAAACUUGGGGAACAUCAUAAUAUUGUGGGAGGAGUCAUUUGGUGGGUUUUGAGCGAAAUCCAUUCUCUAGAACUAUACAAUACACCAACCACCCAUUUCAGAACGAACUUCGUACGAACCUGAAUCGUCCGAUUUCAAGGACCAAUCGAUAUCGGAUUGAGUCUAAAACUUAGGGAACAUCAUAAUAUUGUGGGAGGAGUCAUUUGGUGGGUUUUGAGUGAAAUCCAAUCUCUAGAACUAUACAAUACACCAACCACCCCAUUUGUGAACGAACUUCGUACGAACCUGAAUUGUCCGAUUUCAAGGACCAAUCGACAUCGGAUUGAGUCCAAAACCUGGGGAACAUCAUAAUAUUGUGGGAGGAGUCAUUUGGUGGGUUUUGAGCGAAAUCCAAUCUCCAGAACUUAUACACCAACCACCCCAUUUCAGAACGAACUUCGUACGAACCUGAAUUGUCCGAUUUCAAGGACCAAUCGACAUCGGAUUGAGUCCAAAACUUGGGGAACAUCAUAAUAUUGUGGGAGGAGUCAUUUUGUGGGUUUUGAGUGAAAUCCAAUCUCUAGAACAAUACAAUACACCAACCACCCCAUUUCAGAAUGAACUUCGUACGAACCUGAAUUGUCCGAUUUCAAGGACUAAUCGAUAUCGGAUUGAGUCCAAAACUUGGGGAACAUCAUAAUAUUGUGGGAGGAGUCAUUUGGUGGGUUUUGAGUGAAAUCCAAUCUCUAGAACUAUACAAUACACCAACCACCCC
rnacentral:lncRNA from 1 species